UCUUAUACCUUAAAUCUUUCUAUUGUUUUCAUUACUCUCUUUUCCUGAUUUUCUUAUAUCCUCUCAAAAUGAAGCAUUUUGUUUCCGGUCCCUCAAAUAAAUAUGUAUGGAAUGGUGAGGAAAUCACUUUCCAUGCUAGAUGCAAUUUUUGGCAGUCAUUACCUAAUGAAUGAGUGUUGCAAUUGAUUCGCAACACUACUUUUGGUCCUAUGUUAGAUAUUGGUGUUGUCGAAAUCAACAACCAUCUUUUGAUGUAACAAUAUUAAGAAUUACCUUUUACGCUUGAAGUAAAAUGGAAUGAAGUGUUGGUAUAUUUGUAACGUGGUAUGCUUCUGUUAGUAAUAUGUGUGUGUUUGGUAGCUCUUGGUUUAGGUUUUGCGGGGUGA